GCAUACGGUGGAUGCCUUGGCAGUCAGAGGCGAUGAAAGACGUGGAAGCCUGCGAUAAGGCUCGGGGAGCUGGCAAACAAGCUGUGAUCCGGGCAUUUCUGAAUGGGGAAACCCACCGACUUUCGGGUCGGUACCUUACACUGAAUCCAUAGGUGUAAGGGGCGAACCGGGGGAACUGAAACAUCUAAGUACCCGGAGGAAAGGACAGCAAUAGCGACUUCCCUAGUAGCGGCGAGCGAACGGGGAAGAGCCCAAACCAAUAUUGUUUCGGCAAUAUUGGGGUUGUAGGACUGCAA
rnacentral:rRNA from 14 species